rnacentral:rRNA from 1 species
CCUACGGGGGGCAGCAGUGGGGGAUAUUGCACAAUGGGGGGAACCCUGAUGCAGCGACGCCGCGUGGGUGAAGGAGCGUUUCGGUACGUAAAGCCCUAUCGGCAGGGAAGAAGAUGACGGUACCUGACCAAGAAGCCCCGGCUAACUACGUGCCAGCAGCCGCGGUAAUACGUAGGGGGCAAGCGUUAUCCGGAUUUACUGGGUGUAAAGGGAGCGUAGACGGCAGUGCAAGCCUGAAGUGAAAGCCCAUGGCUUAACCACGGAACUGCUUUUGAAACUGAGCAGCUGGAGUGCAGGAGGGGCAGGCGGAAUUCCUAGUGUAGCGGUGAAAUGCGUAGAUAUUAGGAGGAACACCAGUGGCGAAGGCGGCUUACUGGACUGUAACUGACGUUGAGGCCCGAAGGCGUGGGGAGCAAACAGGAUUAGAUACCCGAGUAGUC